rnacentral:sRNA from 1 species
GCGUUGCAUUGGAUUCGACGUGGUAUACGUGGAUGUCGGAGGUUUGUCGGGUGCGAAUGGAUUAGAAGAAGCCAUUUCUUUGGUUUCUUCG